GGCGACGUGGCCAAGUGGCUAAGGCAACGGUCUGCAAAACCGUAACUCGCGGGUUCAACUCCCGUCGUCGCCUCCA
rnacentral:tRNA from 1 species